rnacentral:rRNA from 1 species
UACAGAGGUCUCAAGCGUUGUUCGGAUUCAUUGGGCGUAAAGGGCGCGUAGGCGGCUUUGCAAGUGACGGGUGAAAUCCCUCGGCUUAACCGAGGAACUGCCUGUCAGACUGCAUGGCUUGAGACCGGGAGAGGUGAGUGGAAUUCCCAGUGUAGCGGUGAAAUGCGUAGAUAUUCGCAAGAACACCAGUGGCGAAGGCGGCUCACUGGCCCGAUACUGACGCUGAGGUGCGAAAGCGUGGGAGCAAACAGG